CCCUUAGAUGUUCUGGGCCGCACGCGCGCUACACUGAUGCAUUCAACGAGUUUCUUCCUGGUCCGAGAGGAAUGGGUAACCUUUUGAAAGUGCAUCGUGAUAGGGAUAGACUAUUGCAAUUAUUGGUCUUCAACGAGGAAUUCCUAGUAGACGUAGUUCAUCAGACUGCAUCGAUUACGUCCCUGCCCUUUGUACACACCGCCCGUCGCUCCUACCGAUUGAAUGCUCAGGUGAGCCAUUCGGACUUUCAUCAGGCUGGUUUCCAGUUUUGAUGAAGGAAAGUCUUGCGAACCUUAUCAUUUAGAGGAAGGAGAAGUCGUAACA
rnacentral:rRNA from 1 species